rnacentral:rRNA from 1 species
CGGACGGGUGAGUAACGCGUGAGAAUCUGCCCUCAGGAGGGGGAUAACGGCUGGAAACGGCCGCUAAUACCCCAUAUGCCGAGAGGUGAAAUGAAUUUCGCCUGAGGAUGAGCUCGCGUCUGAUUAGCUAGUUGGUAGGGUAAAGGCCUACCAAGGCUUCGAUCAGUAGCUGGUCUGAGAGGAUGAUCAGCCACACUGGGACUGAGGCACGGCCCAGACUCCUACGGGAGGCAGCAGUGGGGAAUUUUCCGCAAUGGGCGAAAGCCUGACGGAGCAACGCCGCGUGAGGGAUGAAGGCCUCUGGGCUGUAAACCUCUUUUACCAAGGAAGAAGAUCUGACGGUACUUGAUGAAUAAGCCACGGCUAAUUCCGUGCCAGCAGCCGCGGUAAUACGGGAGUGGCAAGCGUUAUCCGGAAUUAUUGGGCGUAAAGCGUCCGCAGGCGGCCUCGUAAGUCUGUCGUUAAAGCGUGGAGCUUAACUCCAUUUCAGCGAUGGAAACUGUGAGGCUAGAGUGUGGUAGGGGCAGAGGGAAUUCCCGGUGUAGCGGUGAAAUGCGUAGAUAUCGGGAAGAACACCAGUGGCGAAGGCGCUCUGCUGGGCCAUAACUGACGCUCAUGGACGAAAGCCAGGGGAGCGAAUGGGAUUAGAUACCCCAGUAGUC